rnacentral:lncRNA from 1 species
AUUCACUCUCUUUUACUUAAAAGAUUAAAACUCUCUUACUGACUUGAACAGAGAGUCAUUUGUAGUUAGAUCUUUGUAUUUCAAUCUUCAAGAAUUCACAUCAUGUUACUCAAAUUUUGUCACGUGUUUGAAAGUGCACAUUCUGAAUCUUGAUAAGAAUGAUGAGUAAUGCUUAAAACUCAUAGGUAAAUUAAAAAUACUGACAUCUUAUUAAUGAUAAAAUGUUCUUAAUUAAAUUUUAUCAACAGAUUGAAAAUUUUGUCAAAAAUUUGUUGGUAAACUUUUACAGAUAAUUAUUGAAAAAAAAAUGUUGAUUAUUUUAUGGUAAAAUUUGUCUGUAAAUAUCUGAUUCGGUUCUUCCUCCUCCUCCCUACUUUUUCUUCCUUUUAUUAUUUUUUUCUUUUCUACUUCUUCUUCUUCCUCCAACACUCAUCUUUCUCUGACAAGAUUUUCAACACCAUCUUUGGCUCCGUCGACUUCAUGGUCAUUGUUGUCAGCUUCCCCUCAUCUCCUUCUUCUCCUCCUCAUUCUCCUCAUAUUCCUCUUUCUCUUACUCUUCCUUUUAUUCCUUCGUUGUCACACCACCUCCACAAUUAUCACCGCUUUGUUACCAUUGUCGCACAUGCACUAUCAUUUAUUGUUGCUACCUUACUUUUGUCGCUCCAAUAAUUUAUCGUCUCCACUCAUCUCUUUCUCCUCCUUCUCCACCUUUUCCUCUUC